ACGCCCGUAGCUCAGAGGUCAGAGCAAUCACUUAGGACGUAGAUAGGUCACAGGUUCAAAUCCUGUCGGGCGUA
rnacentral:tRNA from 1 species